GGUUAAGCGACUAAGCGUACACGGUGGAUGCCCUGGCAGUCAGAGGCGAUGAAGGACGUGCUAAUCUGCGAUAAGCGUCGGUAAGGUGAUAUGAACCGUUAUAACCGGCGAUUUCCGAAUGGGGAAACCCAGUGUGAUUCGUCACACUAUCAUUAACUGAAUCCAUAGGUUAAUGAGGCGAACCGGGGGAACUGAAACAUCUAAGUACCCCGAGGAAAAGAAAUCAACCGAGAUUCCCCCAGUAGCGGCGAGCGAACGGGGAGCAGCCCAGAGCCUGAAUCAGUGUGUGUGUUAGUGGAAGCGUCUGGAAAGGCGCGCGAUACAGGGUGACAGCCCCGUACACAAAAAUGCACAUACUGUGAGCUCGAUGAGUAGGGCGGGACACGUGGUAUCCUGUCUGAAUAUGGGGGGACCAUCCUCCAAGGCUAAAUACUCCUGACUGACCGAUAGUGAACCAGUACCGUGAGGGAAAGGCGAAAAGAACCCCGGCGAGGGGAGUGAAAAAGAACCUGAAACCGUGUACGUACAAGCAGUGGGAGCACGCUUAGGCGUGUGACUGCGUACCUUUUGUAUAAUGGGUCAGCGACUUAUAUUCUGUAGCAAGGUUAACCGAAUAGGGGAGCCGAAGGGAAACCGAGUCUUAACUGGGCGUUAAGUUGCAGGGUAUAGACCCGAAACCCGGUGAUCUAGCCAUGGGCAGGUUGAAGGUUGGGUAACACUAACUGGAGGACCGAACCGACUAAUGUUGAAAAAUUAGCGGAUGACUUGUGGCUGGGGGUGAAAGGCCAAUCAAACCGGGAGAUAGCUGGUUCUCCCCGAAAGCUAUUUAGGUAGCGCCUCGUGAAUUCAUCUCCGGGGGUAGAGCACUGUUUCGGCAAGGGGGUCAUCCCGACUUACCAACCCGAUGCAAACUGCGAAUACCGGAGAAUGUUAUCACGGGAGACACACGGCGGGUGCUAACGUCCGUCGUGAAGAGGGAAACAACCCAGACCGCCAGCUAAGGUCCCAAAGUCAUGGUUAAGUGGGAAACGAUGUGGGAAGGCCCAGACAGCCAGGAUGUUGGCUUAGAAGCAGCCAUCAUUUAAAGAAAGCGUAAUAGCUCACUGGUCGAGUCGGCCUGCGCGGAAGAUGUAACGGGGCUAAACCAUGCACCGAAGCUGCGGCAGCGACGCUGAUGCGUUGUUGGGUAGGGGAGCGUUCUGUAAGCCUGUGAAGGUGUGCUGUGAGGCAUGCUGGAGGUAUCAGAAGUGCGAAUGCUGACAUAAGUAACGAUAAAGCGGGUGAAAAGCCCGCUCGCCGGAAGACCAAGGGUUCCUGUCCAACGUUAAUCGGGGCAGGGUGAGUCGACCCCUAAGGCGAGGCCGAAAGGCGUAGUCGAUGGGAAACAGGUUAAUAUUCCUGUACUUGGUGUUACUGCGAAGGGGGGACGGAGAAGGCUAUGUUGGCCGGGCGACGGUUGUCCCGGUUUAAGCGUGUAGGCUGGUUUUCCAGGCAAAUCCGGAAAAUCAAGGCUGAGGCGUGAUGACGAGGCACUACGGUGCUGAAGCAACAAAUGCCCUGCUUCCAGGAAAAGCCUCUAAGCAUCAGGUAACAUCAAAUCGUACCCCAAACCGACACAGGUGGUCAGGUAGAGAAUACCAAGGCGCUUGAGAGAACUCGGGUGAAGGAACUAGGCAAAAUGGUGCCGUAACUUCGGGAGAAGG
rnacentral:rRNA from 1 species